UAAAGUUUUAUUCUAGCUUAAAUUUUUGAUUUUUAGAUUAUUUUAUAUGUAAAUUUUUGUAUGAAUUAUUUGUAUUUUAAAUGAAUAUAUUAGUUUAGUAAAUUCGCAAUAUUUAAGAUUAAAAAUAAAGGAAAUUUUGAUUUAGGAAUUUAUAAUAAUAUUAACAAAAUUUGUGCCAGCAGUUGCGGUUACACAAAUAAUAUAAUUGAAUAGGGUUAGUAAGUGAUUAGUUUGUAUUAUUUUAGUUUUAGUUUGAAUUUAUUAGGUGAAAUUAUUAAUUUUGGUAUAAGCUAUAAAAUAUAAAAUGAGGUUGCGAAAUUUUUUUUUUAGACUAGGAUUAGAUACCCUAUUAUUGAAAAUUUAAAUUUAAAUACUUGAUUAGUAGUAGUUAUGUUCUUGAAAUUCAAAGAAUCUGGCGGUAUUUUAGUCUAUUCAGAGGAACCUGUCCUGUAAUUGAUAAUCCACGAUAAAUUGUACUUGUUUUAAGUUUGUAUAUCGUCGUAGUUUGAAUGUUUUAAAAGAAAAGAGAAUGUUCAAUAUUUAUUAUUAUAAAGGAAAUCAGAUCAAGAUACAGCGUAUAGAUAAGAAGAGAUGGGUUACAAUAAAUGUAUUUACAUGGUUGAUAUUUUUAACAAAAUAUCAUAAAGUGGAUUUGAUAGUAAUAUAAUUUAUUUAAAUUGUAUGAUUUUUAGCUCUAAAAUAUGCACAUAUCGCCCGUCACUCCCAUUUUAAGGUGGGAUAAGUCGUAACAAAGUAGGUGUACCGGAAGGUGUGCCUGGUAUGG
rnacentral:ncRNA from 1 species